rnacentral:rRNA from 1 species
UACGGGGGGAGCAAGCGUUGUUCGGAUUACUGGGCGUAAAGGGCGCGUAGGCGGCCACCGGCAAGUCGACUGUGAAAUCUCCGGGCUUAACCCGGAAAGGUCAGCCGAUACUGCGGGCUAGAGUGCAGAAGGGCAACUGGAAUUCUCGGUGUAGCGGUGAAAUCGCGUAGAUAUCGAGAGGAACACCUGCGGCGAAGGCGGGUGCCUGGGCUGACACUGACGCUGAGGCGCGAAAGCUAGGGAGCGAACGGG